UGGGGAAUAUUGCACAAUGGGGGAAACCCUGAUGCGGCCAUGCCGCGUGUGUGAAGAAGGCCUUCGGGUUGUAAAGCACUUUUGCAUUCGAGGAAGACAGCGCGUAAAUAAACGCGUUAUUUGACGUUAGAGUGUGAAUAAGCACCGGCUAAAUACGUGCCAGCAGCCGCGGUAAUACGUAUGGUGCAAGCGUUAUCCGGAUUUACUGGGUGUAAAGGGAGCGCAGGCGGUGCGGCAAGUCUGAUGUGAAAGCCCGGGGCUCAACCCCGGUACUGCAUUGGAAACUGUCGUACUAGAGUGUCGGAGGGGUAAGUGGAAUUCCUAGUGUAGCGGUGAAAUGCGUAGAUAUUAGGAGGAACACCAGUGGCGAAGGCGGCUUACUGGACGAUAACUGACGCU
rnacentral:rRNA from 1 species